rnacentral:tRNA from 1 species
GGAGUUGUGGCUCAGUGGUAGAGUGCUUGCCUAGCACGUGGGAGGCCCUGGGUUCGAUCCUCAGCACCA